GACGAACGCUGGCGGCGUGCUUAACACAUGCAAGUCGAACGGAAAGGCCUGCUUUCCCUUGUGGAUUGCGGGUACUCGAGUGGCGAGCGGGUGAGUAACACGUGAGUGAUCUGCCCCCAACUUGGGUAUAAGCCUGGGAAACUGGGUCUAAUUCCCGAUAGGACUGCAGGGUGGUGCCUGUGGUGGAAAGCGAUUUUCUAGUGGUUGGGGAUGAGCCCGCGGCCUAUCAGCUUGUUGGUGGGGUAAUGGCCUACCAAGGCGGCGACGGGUAGCCGGCCUGAGAGGGUGGACGGCCACAUUGGGACUGAGAUACGGCCCAGACUCCUACGGGAGGCAGCAGUGGGGAAUAUUGCACAAUGGGCGGAAGCCUGAUGCAGCGACGCCGCGUGGGGGAUGACGGCCUUCGGGUUGUAAACUCCUUUCGACCGCGAGGAAGCCACCUGGUUGGAAGGGUGGUGACGGUAGUGGUAGAAGAAGCACCGGCUAACUACGUG
rnacentral:rRNA from 1 species